rnacentral:rRNA from 1 species
AGGGUGCCAGCGUUAAUCGGAAUUACUGGGCGUAAAGCGCACGCAGGCGGUCUGUCAAGUCGGAUGUGAAAUCCCCGGGCUCAACCUGGGAACUGCAUUCGAAACUGGCAGGCUAGAGUCUUGUAGAGGGGGGUAGAAUUCCAGGUGUAGCGGUGAAAUGCGUAGAGAUCUGGAGGAAUACCGGUGGCGAAGGCGGCCCCCUGGACAAAGACUGACGCUCAGGUGCGAAAGCGUGGGGAGCAAACAGGAUUAGAUACCCUGGUAGUCCACGCUGUAAACGAUGUCGAUUUGGAGGUUGUGCCCUUGAGGCGUGGCUGCGG